rnacentral:rRNA from 1 species
GAUGAACGCUGGCGGCGUGCCUAAUACAUGCAAGUCGAGCGGUAACACUUCGGGUGACGAGCGGCGGACGGCUGAGUAACACGUAGGAACGUACCCCAAACUGAGGGAUAAGCACCGGAAACGGUGUCUAAUACCGCAUGUGAUCUUCGGAUUAAAGCUUCGGCGGUUUGGGAACGGCCUGCGCAUGAUUAGCUAGUUGGUGAGGUAAAAGCUCACCAAGACGACGAUCAUUAGCUGGUCUGAGAGGAUGAUCAGCCAGACUGGAACUGAGAACGGCCCAGACUCCUACGGGAGGCAGCAGUAGGGAAUUUUCCACAAUGGACGAAAGUCUGAUGGAGCAACGCCGCGUGCAGGAUGAAGGGUUUCGGCUCGUAAACUGCUUUUAUCUGUGACGAUUAUGACGGUAGCAGACGAAUAAGGAUCGGCUAACUCCGUGCCAGCCGCCGCAGUAACAC